rnacentral:rRNA from 1 species
GACGAACGCUGGCGGCGUGCCUAAUACAUGCAAGUCGAGCGGACUUAAAAAGCUUGCUUUUUAAGUUAGCGGCGGACGGGUGAGUAACACGUGGGCAACCUGCCUGUAAGACUGGGAUAACUUCGGGAAACCGGAGCUAAUACCGGAUAAUCCUUUUCUACUCAUGUAGAAAAGCUGAAAGACGGUUUACGCUGUCACUUACAGAUGGGUCCGCGGCGCAUUAGCUAGUUGGUGAGGUAACGGCUCACCAAGGCGACGAUGCGUAGCCGACCUGAGAGGGUGAUCGGCCACACUGGGACUGAGACACGGCCCAGGCUCCUACGGGAGGCAGCAGUAGGGAAUCUUCCGCAAUGGACGAAAGUCUGACGGAGCAACGCCGCGUGAGUGAUGAAGGUUUUCGGAUCGUAAAACUCUGUUGUUAGGGAAGAACAAGUACGAGAGUAACUGCUCGUACCUUGACGGUACCUAACCAGAAAGCCACGGCUAACUACGUG